AUGUCUGCAUCUGCUCUGAAGCGGACGGACAGACCAACUGGUCUGGAUUCACACCAACUGCCUGUCUGUCUAUCUAUCUGUCUCUGUUUACCUGUCUGUCUCUGUAUGCCUGUCUGUCUCAGUUUACCUGUAUGUCUACCUGUCUGUCUCUGUCUACCUGUCUGUCUCUGUCUACUUGUCUGUCUCUGUCUACUUGUCUGUCUCUGUCUACCUGUCUGUCUCGGUCUACCUGUCUUUCUUUGUCUACCUGUCUGUCUCUGUCUACCUGUAUGUCUACCUGUCUGUCUCUGUCUGUCUCUGUAUGCCUGUCUGUCUCUGUCCAUCUAUCUGUCUCUGUAUGCCUGUCUGUCUCUGUAUGCCUGUCUGUCUCUGUCUACCUGUCUGUCUCUGUCUACCUGUCAGUCUCUGUCUACUUGUCUGUCUCUGUCUACCUGUCUGUCUCUGUCUACCUUUAUGUCUACCUGUCUGUCUCUGUAUGCCUGUCUGUCUCUGUCUACCUGUCUGUCUCUGUCUACCUGUCUGUCUCUGUCUACUUGUCUGUCUCUGUCUACCUGUCUGUCUCUGUCUACCUGUCUGUCUCGGUCUACCUGUCUGUCUACCUGUCUGUCUCUGUCCACUUGUCUGUCUCUGUCUACCUGUAUGUCUCUGUCUACCUGUCUGUCUCUGUCUACCUGUAUGUCUAAUUGUCUGUUUCUAUCUACUUGUCUGUCUUUGUCUACCUGUCUUUCUCUGUCUACCUGUCUGUCUCUGUCUACCUGUCUGUCUCUGUUUACCUGUCUGUCUCUGUCUACCUGUCUGUCUCUCUGUCUACCUGUAUGUCUACCUGUCUGUCUCUGUCUACCUGUCUUUCUCUGUCUACCUGUCUUUCUCUGUCUACCUGUAUGUCUACCAGUCUGUCUGUGUCUAACUGUCUGUCUCUGUCUACCUGUCUUUCUCUGUCUACCUGUCUGUCUCUGUCUACCUGUAUGUCUACCUGUCUGUCUCUGUCUGUCUCUGUAUGCCUGUCUGUCUCUGUAUGCCUGUCUGUCUCUGUCCAUCUAUCUGUCUCUGUAUGCCUGUCUGUCUCUGUAUGCAUGUCUGUCUCUGUCUACCUGUCUGUCUCUGUCUACCUGUCAGUCUCUGUCUACUUGUCUGUCUCUGUCUACCUGUCUGUCUCUGUCUACCUUUAUGUCUACCUGUCUGUCUCUGUCUACCUGUCUGUCUCUGUCUACCUGUCUGUCUCUGUCUACUUGUCUGUCUCUGUCUACCUGUCUGUCUCGGUCUACCUGUCUGUCUACCUGUCUGUCUCUGUCUACUUGUCUGUCUCUGUCUACCUGUAUGUCUCUGUCUACCUGUCUGUCUCUGUCUACCUGUAUGUCUAAUUGUCUGUUUCUAUCUACUUGUCUGUCUUUGUCUACCUGUCUUUCUCUGUCUACCUGUCUGUCUCUGUCUACCUGUCUGUCUCUGUCUACUUGUCUGUCUCUGUCUACCUGUCUGUCUCUGUCUACCUGUCUGUCUACCUGUCUGUCUCUGUCUACCUGUCUUUCUCUGUCUACCUGUCUUUCUCUGUCUACCUGUCUGUCUCUGUCUACCUGUAUGUCUACCAGUCUGUCUGUGUCUAACUGUCUGUCUCUGUCUACCUGUCUUUCUCUGUCUACCUGUCUUUCUCUGUCUACCUGUCUGUCUCUGUCUACCUGUAUGUCUACCUGUCUGUCUGUGUCUAACUGUCUGUCUCUGUCUACCUGUCUUUCUCUGUCUACCUGUCUGACUCUGUUUACCUGUAUGUCUAAUUGUCUGUUUCUGUCUACUUGCCUGUCCCUGUCUACCUGUCUGUCUGUGUCUAACUGUCUGUCUCUGUCUACCUGUCUUUCUCUGUCUACCUGUCUGACUACCUGUAUGUCUAAUUGUCUGUUUCUGUCUACCGCUCUGUCUCUGUUUACCUAUCUGUCUCUGUAUACCAGUCUGUCUCUGUAUACCUGUCUGUCUCAGUUUACCUGUAUGUCUACCUGUCUGUCUCUGUAUGCCUGUCUGUCUCUGUCUACCUGUCUUUCUCUGUCUACCUGUCUGUCUCUGUCUACCUUUCUGUCUACCUGUCUGUCUCUGUUUACCACUCUGUCUCUGUCUACCUGA
rnacentral:lncRNA from 1 species